AUAAAAUACACAAAUAAAAAUAAUCAAAUAAAUAAAUCAACUUUAGGACGGUACAGAUUUAUGGGGUUCAGUUUGAGUUACUUUAUCUUUGUCUUUAAAAAUCCCCCUUCAUGCAGCCUAACAAGCUGAAAAUAUUUUCUGUUUUCUUGAUUUUAGUCUGCAUCAUAUUGAACAAACAGAAGCCUGGAGUAACCCGAUUUGAAUUUUAAACUGUAUCACAGCCUCACUUGACACAGAUUUCUGAUUGGUUGAUCACGGUGGGAGGGAAAACUCAUUGGUUGACGUCACCAACGGGCCGGAAUCUGCAAGCGGGAGAAGUGCAGAGAACGAGAGACUUUUGACGACCGUUUGUCGUAUUUUUUCUGCGUUUUAACAAUCCGUGGGAUGAAUCUCCAACACUUUUUUUGCUUGUCUGGAAAAGAUUCAAAUAAAAUCUUUGAAGUUUGCACGGUAAGUUUGCGAUUUCUUUCCUCCAACUCUGAACUCAGUUGAAUGCUAAAGGUGUUUAAGCUAGCUCUGCCAGUAAUGCAGACGUCUGGGCUACUCGCGGUGGCUUUGGCUGUAUAAGUAAUUAUUACAUUUUAUAAAGGUUUACUUGUGCUUUUUGUAAUAAAAAUAGAGACAUUGAAGAGUUAUUUGCAGUGCAGAGUUUACAGGAAUGAGCCUCGAUAUUUUUCCAAACGCGUGAGUGCUAAGUAACUGUUGGAAGACAUUUUGCUCUGUCUUCAUUAAGUUAAGGGUCUGCAUGGUUCAUCCCAUUCACAGUGUGACGACACCACAGACCAUUUCCAUUAUUGCAAACUUCAAAAUGUGCAGUUUCACUGUAUGUUCAAUUUUUACGCUGUAUAAGCUUUUAUCUUGUUUAAAAGAUCAUCUUGCAGACGUUUGGCCUGUCAUGUCAUCUUUUGAAACUGGUUAUGGACAUGUGUUUAAAGUAAAGUCAUCAUUAACUGCUCACAUGUCUAGAAAGCAUAAUCUGAAAAUGUAAGUAUGCAUAUUAGGGAAACAUGUUCUCAGCCCUCUGUCAGUGGUGGAGAUGUUUAGAGAGCACAGAUGUAGCUAAGCCAACAAAUGUCAACACUGAUAUGUACGAGGAUUUUAGUGAAUCAUAAAUCAUAUUUAAAAACCUUUCCAGAUCUUACUUUGUGCUGUAUAAAAUGUGUGUACAUGAUGUUUUUUUCCCCUCUCUGAUUCAAGGUGAUCUAAAUACUCGUGAAAAUGAGUGAAUCAGAACCCAUGUUCCUCCACACUGCCAUUAUGGAGGUCCUACCAGAGCCACAAAAGACAUCCUGGAAGAACACUUGCAGUCCAUUGGAAUAAAUGGAGUUGUAUGAGGAUCUACGAUUCAUAGAAGAGGCUGACUUGCUGCCAGCUUUGAGACCUGUUCAAGCCCGGAAACGUCUUGCUCUCUGGAAAUUGAAAUACCAAACGCCAGAGAACAGCACAUCGUCAUCUGUUGAGACCUCACCAACACAAUCAUCAUCACUUUUGUUAUAGUCACCGAGAAGUUUGUCAUCCACAUCUUCCAGAAGCCGAGGACUGUACAUACAUUGACUGGGAGGACAGCUUUGAAAUUCCAUGGAAAAUGAUGAAAGCAAGACGUUUUUCCAAACUCUAAAAGGCUGCAGAUGAUGCGGGGAGAGCAGAGUGGCUGCUCAGAAGAGAUGAGAUGUUAAAGAGAUGCGCUUUCUUCUGCUCUGCUACUUUAAUGAGGAGGAUGCCAUGUUCUUGUAGAAGAUGCAGACGAGGUCCAGCUGCAGCAGGUGCCGUUGACUCCAACUGUUAUUGUAUGUGGACAGUCUUGCUUUUCCCCAAGGAGGUUCAUGCUCAUUUGGAACCGCUCCAUCGUACACAACAACAUUGCAGCACUAUGACUGAUGUUCAGAAGCUACUUCUGAUUAACCGUCAUUAUCCAACUGAGCUGGCUUCAACCCUGGAGUUUCUGCAAAGCUGAUGUCCUAAGAUGUGCCACUCUACCUGGUUGGGAACAAAUUGAAGAGGCCAAGCUCAAGAAAGCCUUUGUCAGCAAAUGUAGGGCAGAGCAGGUUCUAAGGCCACUGCUAUGAUCUACAGUAUGCGGACUGGUUUCUCUUCCAUCUUUUUUCUUAUUUUUAAUCUUAAUUUGGUUCUCAAAUUGGUUCAUGGAUUUGAUAGUCUGCAAGUUUCAGAGAAUGUUUUUAUGUUUAUGUUUUUAUAAUGUUUUUUUUUUUCAGUGUGUUGUUUAAAAUCUGGAAGUAUUCAUGACCAGCGUGUCAACCAGAUUGAGUAUGCCACGGUUCAUGUACUUAAUGCAUUUAAUAUUUUAAAAAGUGUCUAAUACUGCUACCACAAUUAAAAUGCUGUACUGAUGAUGGUGCUGCCCAAAUAAAGUGUAAAGCAUUUACAUUUCUAGUAUUGUUUUUACUGUUACUGUAUAUCAGUGGUCUCCCAUCCUGGUCCUUGAAGGUCACUGUUCUGGAUGUUUUAGCUGUUUUCCUGCUCCAACAGAUCUGCUGCAGUGGUUGAAUUGCCUCCUCAAGUUCUGCAGGAGGUGGUUAAUCACCUGUUGAUUCACAUCUGGGGAGCAAAGAAACAUCUAAACCCUACAUGAUGGU